rnacentral:rRNA from 1 species
UAGGCAGUUACGGUAGGCAAAUCCGCUGUAACGUUAAUGCUGAGGCGUGAUGGGGAAGGCCCUUGAGGCUGAAGUACAUGAUUCCAUGCUUCCAAGAAAAGCAUCUAGAGAGAGAAGUAGUGCCCGUACCGCAAACCGACACAGGUAGAUGAGGAGAGAAUCCUAAGGCCGGCGGAAGAAUUGCAGUUAAGGAACUAGGCAAAUUGACCCCGUAAGUUAGCGAGAAGGGGUGCCUGCGAGAGCAGGCCGCAGAGAAUAGGCCCAAGCAACUGUUUAGCAAAAACACAGGUCUCUGCUAAAGCGCAAGCUGAUGUAUAGGGGCUGACGCCUGCCCGGUGCUGGAAGGUUAAGGGGAACACUUAGCGCAAGCGAAGGUGUGAACUUAAGCCCCAGUAAACGGCGGCCGUAACCAUAACGGUCCUAAGGUAGCGAAAUUCCUUGUCAGGUAAGUUCUGACCCGCACGAAUGGCGUAAUGACUUGGGCACUGUCUCAACUGCAAAUCCGGCGAAGUUGUAGUGCGAGUGAAGAUGCUCGCUACCCGCGAUUGGACGGAAAGACCCCGUAGAGCUUUACUGUAGCUUAGCAUUGAAUUCCGGUAUUGUCUGUACAGGAUAGGUGGGAGACUGGGAAACUAGGGCGUCAGCCUUAGUGGAGUCGUCCUUGGGAUACCACCCUGACAGUACUGGGGUUCUAACAGGACGCCAUGAAUCUGGUGACUGGACAUUGUUAGGUGGGCAGUUUGACUGGGGCGGUCGCCUCCUAAAAAGUAACGGAGGCGCCCAAAGGUUCCCUCAGAACGGUCGGAAAUCGUUCGUAGAGUGCAAAGGCAGAAGGGAGCCUGACUGCGAGACCUACAAGUCGAGCAGGGACGAAAGUCGGGCUUAGUGAUCCGGUGGUACCUCGUGGGAGGGCCAUCGCUCAACGGAUAAAAGCUACCUCGGGGAUAGCAGGCUGAUCUCCCCCAAGAGUCCACAUCGACGGGGAGGUUUGGCACCUCGAUGUCGGCUCGUCGCAUCCUGGGGCUGUAGUAGGUCCCAAGGGUUGGGCUGUUCGCCCAUUAAAGCGGCACGCGAGCUGGGUUCAGAACGUCGUGAGACAGUUCGGUCCCUAUCCGUCGCGGGCGUAGGAAAUUUGAGAGGAGCUGUCCUUAGUACGAGAGGACCGGGAUGGACUGACCUCUGGUGCACCAGUUGUUCUGCCAAGAGCAUGGCUGGGUAGCUAAGUCGGGAAGGGAUAAACGCUGAAAGCAUCUAAGCGUGAAGCCUCCCUCAAGAUGAGAUUUCCCAUAGCAUAAGCUAGUAAGACCCCUUGAAGAACACGAGGUUGAUAGGUCAGAGGUGUAAGUGUGGUAACAUAUUUAGCUGACUGAUACUAAUAGGUCGAGGGCUUGACC